rnacentral:rRNA from 1 species
GAUGAACGCUGGCUACAGGCUUAACACAUGCAAGUCGAGGGGAAACGCCGGGGAAGCUUGCUUCCCCGGGCGUCGACCGGCGCACGGGUGAGUAACGCGUAUCCAACCUGCCUCUGACUGAGGGAUAACCCGUCGAAAGUCGGCCUAAUACCUCAUGGUAUCGUCUGCGGGCAUCCAACGACGAUUAAAGAUUUCAUCGGUCAGGGAUGGGGAUGCGUCUGAUUAGCUUGUUGGCGGGGUAACGGCCCACCAAGGCUACGAUCAGUAGGGGUUCUGAGAGGAAGGUCCCCCACAUUGGAACUGAGACACGGUCCAAACUCCUACGGGAGGCAGCAGUGAGGAAUAUUGGUCAAUGGGCGAGAGCCUGAACCAGCCAAGUGGCGUGCAGGAAGACGGCCCUAUGGGUUGUAAACUGCUUUUAUGCGGGGAUAAAGUGAGGGACGUGUCCCUCAUUGCAGGUACCGCAUGAAUAAGGACCGGCUAAUUCCGUG